rnacentral:misc_RNA from 1 species
GAUGAAGAACGCAGCAAAAUGCGAUAAGUAGUGUGAAUUGCAGAAUUCAGUGAAUCAUCGAAUCUUUGAACGCACAUUGCGCCCCUUGGUAUUCCAUGGGGCAUGCCUGUUCGAGCGUCAUUUGUACCUUCAAGCUUUGCUUGGUGUUGGGUGUUUGUCCUGAGGGACUCGCCUUAAAGUAAUUGGCAGCCAGUGUUUGGUUUUGAAGCGCAGCACAAGUCGCGAUUCAAGGCUAUACACCAGCUUCCACAAGCCUUUUUCACUUUUGACCUCGGAUCAGGUAGGGAUACCCGCUGAACUUAAGCAUAUCAAGAAGCGGAGGA